AUUGAACGCUGGCGGCAGGCCUAACACAUGCAAGUCGAACGGUAACAGGAAACAGCUUGCUGUUUCGCUGACGAGUGGCGGACGGGUGAGUAAUGCCUGGGAAACUGCCUGAUGGAGGGGGAUAACUACUGGAAACGGUAGCUAAUACCGCAUAACGUCGCAAGACCAAAGAGGGGGACCUUCGGGCCUCUUUCCAUCGGAUGUGCCCAGUUGGGAUUAGCUAGUAGGUGGGGUAACGGCUCACCUAGGCGACGAUCCCUAGCUGGUCUGAGAGGAUGACCAGCCACACUGGAACUGAGACACGGUCCAGACUCCUACGGGAGGCAGCAGUGGGGAAUAUUGCACAAUGGGCGCAAGCCUGAUGCAGCCAUGCCGCGUGUAUGAAGAAGGCCUUCGGGUUGUAAAGUACUUUCAGCGGGGAGGAAGGGAGUAAAGUUAAUACCUUUGCUCAUUGACGUUACCCGCAGAAGAAGCACCGGCUAACUCCGUGCCAGCCGCCGCAGUAA
rnacentral:rRNA from 1 species